rnacentral:lncRNA from 1 species
CUCCUGCCAACAAUUGGGACCCUCUUUCAAAAACCAACUGGCCCCGGAGGAUUCAUGUGUGGAGUCUCAGCCAUGCAAACACUAUCGUGAAUUAGUUCAAACAGAUGCCUUUCAAUAACACAGCUGCGGUAUCAGAACACGGAAGCAGGGUUUGCGAGCCCCGGCACUGUUGACUUUUGGGCUGGAGAAUUCUUUGAAGUGGGGAGCUGUUCUGGGCACUGUGAGACACUCAGCAGCCGCUCUGGCCUCUCCACCUUUAAUUGCAGUGGCUCAAAGUGUCUCUAGAUAUUGACAGACAUCCCCUCGAGGGCAUCCUCCUCCCCAGGUGUCUUCAAGCAGAUAUAUUCUACAUCUUCUCCCAGAUUUUAUGAUUGUGUUGAUCGGAACUGCUCAUCUUUCAUUGCAAGAAGACUAAAGUGGUCAACUUUCAUUUUCCUGGAAUGCAUUUAAAUCGGAGGUCAUGGGCAUCAGGUGUUGUGUCCCAGAGAAGUGGAAAAUGACUAAGUCAUCGUAUAUAUUAAUCCAGGGAAUAUCGGAUAAGCAAACACACUUCCCUGGAACUUGUGGCUUUGCAGUAACUUCAUGUUCCAAGUGUUGGGAAGUCUGUAAAUGUAGACCUGUUUCCUGGAGUCCUAUCAGUAUGAAGAAUCUUGAGCCAUUUCUGAUGCAAUCUACCCGCUACUCAAAUCCCCCUCAUCUCUCCACUGGAAUUGGAUUCCAGAUAAAGAAGAUAUCAGUUCUUCCAUACAAGUGAAUGCAGGUUGCUCUCGGGAUUUCCUGAUAUCUUUUUCCUCAUCUUUUCUGGAACACGUUGACUGACCAUCUUUUGGCAUUUGAGGAAGAGCUAACUGAUGUGUGCAUCCUUAAUCUUUAUUUAUUCUUUUUAUUUUAAAGAGAGUAGUAAAUGAGAAACAAACAAAAUAAUAGAACAGUAGCAGCAUACCAGUAUCACGAACAUAAAUACAUCAAAGCAAGAACAUUCAAAGUGAUAUAGGGUCUCAAGACAAAAUAAUACGAAUCAACAGUGGUUGUUACAUUACAUAUCGCUAUCCUCAACUACAUUGCUCAGAUUAUCAGAUGCAAGAAUGAAAGAAUGCUCAAACCAUUAAAGAGAAUAAAGGAAUAAUUCUUCUAUAAAACAUUAGAGAUAAU